rnacentral:rRNA from 1 species
UUGAACGCUUGCGGCCUGCCUUACACCUGCAAGUCGCACGGCAGCAUGAUCUAGCUUGCUAGAUUGAUGGCGAGUGGCGAACGGGUGAGUAAUACAUCGGAACGUGCCCUGUAGUGGGGGAUAACUAGUCGAAAGAUUAGCUAAUACCGCAUACGACCUGAGGGUGAAAGUGGGGGACCGCAAGGCCUCAUGCUAUAGGAGCGGCCGAUGUCUGAUUAGCUAGUUGGUGAGGUAAAGGCUCACCAAGGCGACGAUCAGUAGCUGGUCUGAGGGGACGAUCAGCCACACUGGGACUGAGACACGGCCCAGACUCCUACGGGAGGCAGCAGUGGGGAAUUUUGGACAAUGGGCGAAAGCCUGAUCCAGCAAUGCCGCGUGUGUGAAGAAGGCCUUCGGGUUGUAAAGCACUUUUGUCCGGAAAGAAAUGGCUCUGGUUAAUACCUGGGGUCGAUGACGGUACCGGAAGAAUAAGGACCGGCUAACUACGUG